rnacentral:tRNA from 1 species
GGGGUUGUGACUCAAUAGCAGAGCAUCUGCUUGGCAAGCAGAAGGUCCCAGGUGCAAUCCCUGCCAUUUCCA